GAGCCGCAGGCUGCCAUCUUGCCCCAUGUGGGCACUGGAGAAUGGGGCUAGUGUAGAGAAGACCCUAGAAGAGAGAUGUGGAUGGGACAGGGUCCUUGUGGCAUCAUUUGAGAUUCUGAACCUGGAGCUGGGGCUGCUCCCAGAGUUUUUGGAUAUAUGAGCCAAUACAUCCCAUUUUGGCUUAAACCUGCUGUAGCUGUAGGACUGUGACCAAGAGUUCUAUUUCUAUGAGUCCCGCAGGCUUGUUUCCCCACCUCUAAAGGGAGAGAGUAAUCACUCCCGUGGUCUGUUAUGCCUCGUCAUUAUCUGUGUAUAGUAGAGAUAUCUUGGUGUAUAGCACCAAGCACAGGACUUGGACAGAGUUAACCACUCAAUAAACAGCAGCCAUGGCCGUCGUCAGGAGCAUUGUGGAGCACUGGAUGCUGUCGCUGGUAUAAGGCCCAGACAUGACGGUGCAGAGGACAUCAGGACCAGCAGGACAUAAAACCCUCACGGUCACAGGGAGAAAGUCAGAUCCCGGGCACCUGACACAGCCAAGCCCUGCUCUCAACAUGUGAGGAAACUGAGGCCCAGGAGCCUGGAGAUGUGUCUGCUCCAGGUCACACUGUGGGCUGUAGGGGUCCGGAACCCAGACAUGUGGACUGCGCCAGGCUCUAGCCAAUGACUCCUCCAAACCACUGCACCUCCCCAGCCCUCCAGAGUUCUCAUCUGAAAAACGGGGCAUCAGGUCUGAAGGUCUUCAAUGCCCCUUCUGGCUGGGAUAUCAGAGUUUUGGGACCUCUCUCUCCAGGUCCUCAUGAGUCCAGCAGGAGCUCUGGCAGGUCCAGGGUCCCCUCCUUCCCUCUGCUGCCACUGCUCAGCACCCAACCCUUUUUAAAAUUAGCUCUGUGAGUUACAGAAGUAAUCCCUGCUUUCUUGUUAACAUGUUUCAAACAGCACAGAAGGGUUCAAGGUGGAAGCUGAAGGUACUCCCCAGUCUCCCCCACAACCCCCAGCCCACCUCUGCUAGGUCCCACAUGGCCUUUGGGAAACAUAUGCAUUGUUCCCUCUUCCCAUAGAAGCCAGAAGGGAAGUCUGGAAUCAGUGAGCCAGGUACAGCUCUGGGCCCAGGCCCAGAGAUCCCACACUCAUGCCAGCCCCUACCCACGCCAGCCCCCUCCCUGUGCCAGCCACCGCCCCUCCAUCUAUGCAGGCCCCCUACCACCAAGCCCAUCGAUAGGGGCUCAUUAUUCCGUCCUGUCUCCCUAGGAUGGGGCAGAGUGACAGCUGUUCCGUGUUUAAUUACCGAUGGGCUGAGGCUAUGCCAACCCAUGAAUAAAAUUACAGUUGUUCUGCAAUGCAAAUAUUGCGGGCCUCCGUCUGAGGGUGCGUGCGGG
rnacentral:lncRNA from 1 species